rnacentral:rRNA from 1 species
AGUGAACGCUGGCGGUAGGCCUAACACAUGCAAGUCGAACGGCAGCACAGUAAGAGCUUGCUCUUACGGGUGGCGAGUGGCGGACGGGUGAGGAAUACAUCGGAAUCUACUUUUUCGUGGGGGAUAACGUAGGGAAACUUACGCUAAUACCGCAUACGACCUACGGGUGAAAGCAGGGGAUCUUCGGACCUUGCGCGAUUGAAUGAGCCGAUGUCGGAUUAGCUAGUUGGCGGGGUAAAGGCCCACCAAGGCGACGAUCCGUAGCUGGUCUGAGAGGAUGAUCAGACACACUGGAACUGAGACACGGUCCAGACUCCUACGGGAGGCCGCAGUGGGGAAUAUUGGACAAUGGGCGCAAGCCUGAUCCAGCCAUACCGCGUGGGUGAAGAAGGCCUUCGGGUUGUAAAGCCCUUUUGUUGGGAAAGAAAAGCAGCAGGUUAAUACCCCGCUGUUCUGACGGUACCCAAAGAAUAAGCACCGGCUAACUUCGUG